GGGGGGAGGCCGGAUCCUGGGUUGUGUCCCGGCGCCCUGUGCUCCCGGUCUGUGCUGUUGGAUUCGCGCUCCCGCCCCACAGCCCCCU
rnacentral:pre_miRNA from 1 species